CAAACAGUGAGGAUGGAAAGAGGCAGUGGGGGAAAGGAACAAAGAAUAAUUAACAUAAGCAAUUCAACUAUCAAUCAUAAGCCAAUAGUAAGGGAUAUAUGUUUUUCUAGGGAGGAGCAACGUUGUCAUUAUGAGGCUGUUGACUGGAUGCUGUGACUGUGAAUGGCAGUGUAAGGUAACCAUUGGAGACCCAGAGCAGUUCAAUGUGAAAACAGACUGAUCCACUCCAGCAUUACCAAGGAAAUUCUUCUCAGUGACCAUUCGACCAGGAACAUCCAGUCAUGAUAGGCCAGCAGAAGCUUCUCCUCCUGUGGGCAUGGAUGUUGCUGGUGGCAGCACUGUGCCCAGGUGCCCUAUGUAAACGUGGGGGUGGAUUCAGGGGCUGGGGAAAGGGUACAGGGGUGGGAAGCAAAGGGCCCCCCUCCCAGAGCCAUGGCUCCUCCAAGCAGGGGCUGAAGAUGGCAGGGGCAGCAGCCGCUGGGGCACUGGGUGGGGCUGCCAUUGGCUAUGGGCUGGGGUCACUCGGUAGGCCAAGACAUGGCUACAGGGGAAGUGGGUAUGGCUACGACGCAGACUCAUCUUCGGAGGACCAGAGAUUCCAUUAUCCUGAAGGUCAAGGAUUUCACAACCAGUCUGACUGGCGUCGCUACAGAAACGCUGCUGGCCCCAGACCCGGACCCAUGAGUAGCAUCCUCCUCACACUGGGAUCAAUGGUGCCUUUCUUCUUAGGGGACUGGAUAAGGCGAAUCUAGUCAUAAACCAUUUCCUUGGAAGAAGAUUUUAUCUGAAUUUCUGGGCCAAAAGACUAGAGUGGACCGCUUUUAAAUUCAAAUAAACAUUGAAUAAGCCCUCCUCUUGUUGUCCUUUGGGUUAGUCCCACCAUCACCUCUACAAAGCUAUACUCAGUCAAACCUCAUUACCUCUGGAAAAAGAGAUGUAAGAGAGGGGAUUUGUAUGUUAUUGUGUUGUAAAAUCAUGUGUCACAGACUGUCAAACUGGACUGUGCUAGAUCCUAUUUCAGCUUUAUCAACUGUAAUAGCUGGAUGAAAUUAGGUAGGAUGCUGCUGUUUCCAUUAACAUCUACUUGCUGUGAUUUUAAUCAAAUAAGUCAUAUUUUGCCUUUGCAAUAAAUGUGUGAUUAUUCACUAGCUUUUUAUCUGCAAAUAGCAAACAUACAUUUAUGUAACCCAUAUUAAAGUAAUUUCAAACUAUUAUUUUCUGAAAAUCUUAAAAUCUCACUUGGCACAGACGUCAAUUCAAUGUCUAUUCCACGUUGGUUCAAUGUAA